rnacentral:rRNA from 1 species
AGCUAGUUGGUGAGGUAAUGGCUCACCAAGGCGACGAUCCGUAACUGGUCUGAGAGGAUGAUCAGUCACACUGGAACUGAGACACGGUCCAGACUCCUACGGGAGGCAGCAGUGGGGAAUAUUGGACAAUGGGCGAAAGCCUGAUCCAGCCAUGCCGCGUGUGUGAAGAAGGUCUUCGGAUUGUAAAGCACUUUAAGUUGGGAGGAAGGGCAGUAAGUUAAUACCUUGCUGUUUUGACGUUACCGACAGAAUAAGCACCGGCUAACUCUGUGCCAGCAGCCGCGGUAAUACAGAGGGUGCAAGCGUUAAUCGGAAUUACUGGGCGUAAAGCGCGCGUAGGUGGUUCGUUAAGUUGGAUGUGAAAGCCCCGGGCUCAACCUGGGAACUGCAUCCAAAACUGGCGAGCUAGAGUAUGGUAGAGGGUGGUGGAAUUUCCUUGUGUAGCGGUGAAAUGCGUAGAUAUAGGAAGGAACACCAGUGGCGAAGUA